CCUACGGGAGGCUGCAGUGAGGAAUAUUGGUCAAUGGACGAGAGUCUGAACCAGCCAAGUAGCGUGAAGGAUGACUGCUCUAUGGGUUGUAAACUUCUUUUAUAUGGGAAUAAAACGUUCCACGUGUGGGAUUUUGUAUGUACCAUAUGAAUAAGGAUCGGCUAACUCCGUGCCAGCAGCCGCGGUAAUACGGAGGAUCCGAGCGUUAUCCGGAUUUAUUGGGUUUAAAGGGAGCGUAGGUGGAUUGUUAAGUCAGUUGUGAAAGUUUGCGGCUCAACCGUAAAAUUGCAGUUGAAACUGGCAGUCUUGAGGACAGUAGAGGUGGGCGGAAUUCGUGGUGUAGCGGUGAAAUGCUUAGAUAUCACGAAGAACUCCGAUUGCGAAGGCAGUUCACUGGACUGCAACUGACACUGAGGCUCGAAAGUGUGGGUAUCAAACAGGAUUAGAUACCCCGGUAGUC
rnacentral:rRNA from 1 species